GCUAGUGUGGUGUAGUGGUUUGAGUGUUGGACUAUGAUUCUAAAAAACAGGGUUUGAAUCCCCACUCAAUCA